AGUGAACGCUGGCGGUAGGCCUAACACAUGCAAGUCGAACGGCAGCACAGUAAGAGCUUGCUCUUACGGGUGGCGAGUGGCGGACGUGUGAGGAAUACAUCGUAAUCUACUUUUUCGUGGGGGUUAACGUAGGGAAACUUACGCUAAUACCGCAUAUGACCUACGGUUGAAAGCAGUGGAUCUUCGGACCUUGCGCGGUUGAAUGAGCCGAUGUCGGACUGGCUAGUUGGCGGGGUAAAGGCCCACGAAGGGGACGAUCCGCAGCCGGUCCGAGAGGAUGAUAGGCGGCAUUGGAGGUGGAACACGGACCAUACUCCUACGGGAGGCAGCAGUGGGGAAUAUUAGGCAGUGGGCGGAAGCAUGGUCCAGCCAGACCGCGUGGGUGGCAGAAGCCUUCGGGUUGUGAAGACCUUUUUUUGGGAGAGAAAAGCAGCCGGUUAAUACCCAGCUGUUCUGACGGUACCCAAAGAAUAAGCACCGGCUAACUUCGUG
rnacentral:rRNA from 1 species